GGGACCAGGUGACCGAGUCGGAGGUGCAGAUUUCACUCUGAGGGUGGAUAUGCUCUCAAACCAGUCAUUUCCAAUUAGACAUGUCUUAGUCUCUUUUGCUUUCUCGUUCUCUUUCUCUUUCUUUCUCCCUUUUGACAAAAGAUGUUUGCACCUUUUCUUCAACCUGAGCCACAGAAACAUGAGCUUUUUCAAGGUCCAGAAUCUUCCAUCCCAAGAGCACAGCAGGCCUGCUGAUUCCCAGCCCAGCGGGAGGCAAACUGAAGCCAAGACGUUGUUCAUGAACCAGCAAGCAUCAUGUGGCCCUCCUUCCCAAGAGCUCGUCUCCAGCUGAGGGAUGAGACUGCUGCUACUUAGCAUAAUGAUUUGCUUUACGACUCUCUCUGACCUGCAGUAAUGGAUGCUUCUCUGCUCUUGUCAAUUAGCCUCCAUUUUCCACCGCAUGCUUUUAUAGUGCCUCUAAUGCAUCUUAAACUACAGAAGUGGCUUCCACAUCACAAGAACAUCUCUCCAGGUCAGUGGCAUCUUCAACUUGCGAUUGCUGUCGACAGAGCAUGAGUUUGAGAGGAAAGCUAUAAGACGGC
rnacentral:lncRNA from 1 species